rnacentral:misc_RNA from 1 species
UGCGGAGGAUCAUUAUCAAAAAUAAUUCAUUAUUUUUUGAAAUCUUUUUCCAAUUUCCCUUGUCUAUCUACUCCAUGUUGCUUCCACUAGACAGGUAUAUAUUAUUAAAAAUUGGAUUAAAAAUCUAAUUUUCAAUAGUAUUUGCCCUUUAAUUCCUUAACGGGGUUGAAGAAUAGUCGGUGGAUAGCCUUUAUUAAGAUAAAAACUUUUUUUUUAAAAACAUAGUCUGAUUAAACUAGUAUUUGUUUUAAAUAAAAAAAAAACUUUCAACAACGGAUCUCUAGGCUCUUGCAUCGAUGAAAAACGCAGUGAAAUGUGAUAAGUAAUGUGAAUUGCANAAUCUCGUGAAUCAUUGAAUCUUUGAACGCACAUUGCGCCCAAUGGUAUUCCACUGGGCAUACCUGUUUGAGUGUCAAAAGCCUCAUACUUAUCAAACUGUUAUACGUGUGCUAGAAACAUCCGUAUAAUGAUGUUUGGAAUGCUAUUGAGAAUAGUANUAUAUAUUAAAAUACUACGUUCUUAAAAAUCAACAAGAUUUUUGUUUUGAUUUUUAAUCAACUCGUUUUGUAUGUAAUAUAACAAAUGGGUAUGAUUAAAAGCAACAAUACUAUAUUUUGGAUGACCUCAAAUCAGGUAGGGAUACCCGCUGAACUUAAGCAUAUCA